CUAGUUCCCUGAUCUAGCUGACGGAAGUUGAGGCAAUAACAGGUCUGUGAUGCCUUAGAUGUUCUGGGCCGCACGCGCGCUACACUGACAGACCAGCGAGUUCAUAACCUUGGCCGGAAGGUCUGGGUAAUCUUGUGAAACUCUGUCGUGCUGGGGAUAGAGCAUUGCAAUUAUUGCUCCUCAACGAGGAAUUCCUAGUAAGCGUGAGUCAUCAGCUCGCGUUGAUUCAUUACGUCCCUGCCCUUUGUACACACCGCCCGUCGCUACUACCGAUUGAAUGGCUUAGUGAGACCUCCUCCGGAUUGGCUUUGGGGAGCUUGGUCAUUUAGAGGGAAGUAACUAGC
rnacentral:rRNA from 1 species